CCUACGGGAGGCAGCAGUGAGGAAUAUUGGUCAAUGGGCGCAAGCCUGAACCAGCCAAGUCGCGUGAGGGAUUACGGUCCUAUGGAUUGUAAACCUCUUUUGUCGGGGAGCAAGGCCCGCCACGUGUGGCGGGACGGAGAGUACCCGAAGAAAAAGCAUCGGCUAACUCCGUGCCAGCAGCCGCGGUAAUACGGAGGGUGCAAGCGUUGUCCGGAAUUAUUGGGCAUAAAGGGUUCGUAGGUGGCAUAUUAAGUCUGGUGGUAAAUGCAGGAGCCCAACUUCUGUUCGGCACUGGAUACUGGUAGGCUUGAAUGCGGGAGAGGUAAAGGGAAUGCCUGGUGUAGCGGUGAAAUGCGUAGAUAUCAGGAGGAACAUCGGUGGCGUAAGCGCUUUACUGGGCCGUAAUUGACACUGAGGAACGAAAGCCGGGGUAGCAAAUGGGAUUAGAUACCCUUGUAGUC
rnacentral:rRNA from 1 species